rnacentral:rRNA from 1 species
AGAUUGAACGCUGGCGGCAGGCCUAACACAUGCAAGUCGAGCGGUAGAGAGGUGCUUGCAUCUCUUGAGAGCGGCGGACGGGUGAGUAAUGCCUAGGAAUCUGCCUAGUGGUGGGGGAUAACGUUCGGAAACGGACGCUAAUACCGCAUACGUCCUACGGGAGAAAGCGGGGGACCUUCGGGCCUCGCGCCAUUAGAUGAGCCUAGGUCGGAUUAGCUAGUUGGUGAGGUAAUGGCUCACCAAGGCGACGAUCCGUAACUGGUCUGAGAGGAUGAUCAGUCACACUGGAACUGAGACACGGUCCAGACUCCUACGGGAGCAGCAGUGGGGAAUAUUGGACAAGUGGGCGAAAGCCUGAUCCAAGCCAUGGCCGCGUGUG